rnacentral:rRNA from 1 species
ACGUGUGGAGCGAGCGUUGUUCGGAAUUAUUGGGCAUAAAGGGCGCGUAGGCGGAGCGUCGUGUCCGUGGUGAAAUCCCCCGGCUUAACCGGGGAAAUGCCGCGGAAACUGGCAUUCUAGAGUGGAACAGGGGUGAGUGGAACUCUGGGUGUAGCGGUGAAAUGCGUAGAUAUCCAGGGGAACGCCGGUGGCGAAAGCGGCUCACUGGGUUCUAACUGACGCUGAGGCGCGAAAGCGUGGGGAGCAAACA